ensembl:snRNA
GUGUUCUAUGAAAGUAGAGAAGGUUACCACUCCCCUUGACUAGGAUGGAUGAGGCCCUUGGGCCUGACAACACACAUACGGUUAAGGAGAAGUAGAUAGCCACAUAUGAAA